UACGGGGGGGGGCAAGCGUUGUUCGGAAUUACUGGGCGUAAAGGGCUCGUAGGCGGCCAACUAAGUCGGAUGUGAAAUCCCCAGGCUCAACUUGGGAACUGCAUCCGAUACUGGAUGGCUUGAAUCCGGGAGAGGGAUGCAGAAUUCCAGGUGUAGCGGUGAAAUGCGUAGAUAUCUGGAGGAAUACCGGUGGCGAAGGCGGCAUCCUGGACCGGCAUUGACGCUGAUGAGCGAAAAGCUAGGGGAGCAAACGG
rnacentral:rRNA from 1 species